UUCAAAAAGAACCAUUCCUAUUGUUUAACGCUUCUUUCUUUCGCUGUGUUCCUUCUUUCCCUUCUAUGAUCAUGUAGUUUUCUCCUCAAUUGAUUCUAAAUUGACUGAGAAAUACACAACUAUUUUAUUAUCAAGUUCAAAUUGUUAAUUCGCUUUUCUCCUACCUACUUACUUAGUUACCUCGUGUCUAUUUGUCUCUAUAGUAACCCUUUCGCCCCCAUUUUAUAUAUACA